UUUUCUUGUGUGCAGGGUUUAUCGUCUGCAUCGCAAAACGCAAACUUAUUGUUAAGACGGUGAAUACUAUUAAAAAGAGAUUUAUGACUGAACUUUACUUACCACGUCGUAACUCAAGCACGGGACGGCCCUUGACUGAAGCCCCAAACUAACCUCUUCUAGUAUUUUUUGUUGAAAGGAGGUAUUGAAGUACGCCACCUCCAGUGGAGACUUACUCCUCUGCGCACGAGCCAAACUUAAGAAACUUUUCCUGCGUUUCGGUUUUUCCAGGGGGCCGGUAGUCCUGCAAGGUAGCUGGUCAUAGUUGCCUAUACGGGUUGAUAUGCGUGGAGGGCACCAACUUGUGGGUAGCACCGGAACGCUCCGAGCUCCAAGCGGCCAUCGGCCAGGGUUCGGUGCGGAUCGACCUUCCCGUGGGGCCCGACGUUUGUUAGGAAUUGGCCAAUUUAAAAAAUAUAUAAAGGCAGUUUGCUUACAACAACAGCGACGUGCAUGCCCCCACGCUGGCAGCAUCGUUGAGUGCCGCAGUCAAUUUUAGACAGCCAGCAACCGAAACCGGGGUGACUGUGAGUCCUAGCUCUUAUAAGAGUGCCGUUGGAUGAAAACCUUCUCAGCAGCAGUGACGAGCAAAAAGUACAUAUACUCCCCGACGACGGGAUCCGAGCUC